UAGACCUCUUCCCACUUCUCAAACGACGAAUGAAAACCCAAAGGUCCAGGGCAGCGGUUCUCAACCUGGGAGUUGAACGACUCUUUUACAGGGGUCUCCUAAAACCACUGGCGUAUCGGAUGUUUUCCAGAGCUACCCGGAGUCUGGUAAUGAAGACAGGAGGACUCAGAACUCAAGGGACACACAGCCCAGGAAGUGCUGCUAGCAGCAGCCAGCGGAGGAUGACCCCCUAUGUUGACUGCUAUGCUCAGCGCUCCUAUCCCAUGCCGG
rnacentral:lncRNA from 1 species